rnacentral:lncRNA from 1 species
AUAUACUUGAGAAAUCCUCUAAAUACUAGCAUUAAUUUAGCUCUGUUUUCACUAACUCCAGGCUGAUGCAUUCAUUCUCCAGCAAAAGCCAUCCCAUGAGUGCUGUGUCAAGUGUCCACGCUAAUUGGAAAAAACUACUUUGUGGACUUUGCUGAGUUAGAUGACCUUCUGAUAUGUGCUGAAAGGAUUUCUUGUGCAUCCAAGAGGAUAGUUUCAGGUGGGAACUAUGCUGACCAGCACUGAAUAAAGAUAACUAGGAGAGCGGUUCUCUCAUGAAAGAUAUAAAGACAUAAUGAUGAAAAAUGUCAAUUAUUUUAUCGCACAAAUCUGCAGGCAAGAAUGAAUUUUGUUUCCAUUUAUUGGAAGCCCUGCAUACUGAAGCAGCUUUCACAGAUGAAGACUCUAAAGAAGUUCUGGCUAAACCAGAAAACCAGCUACAAGGUAUGAAGAAAAAUCUAUGGUCAAUGCCCAGCCCUCACCUCAACCAAAUAAGUAACCAGGAGCGGACCAGGCAGAUCUGGAUUCUGAAGAGUGGUGUGACACUUUUUUAAAGCCACCAAAGGUAGGAAGAUUUAAUUUUUUCAUAUUCUUGACACCAAUACCUAAGAAGGGAUUCCAGAGUGA